rnacentral:rRNA from 1 species
AUGGCUCGCAAGACCACCAUCGUUGUGGCAUCCAUGUUGGCAUUGAUGCUCCUUAUGUCUUUUGGCGAGGUUCAAGGGAAGUGUCUUGAGGAACGCAUCAAGCUCGCAUGUGAUAAUUGGGUCAAAUGUUUUGAGUGGUGUCGUCUCUUUGGUGAUACGAAAGGGUACUGUGAUAAAGGCGGGGCCUAUGAGCCAUCUCUCGCCCCAUUGUGUCCCUUGCAUCACAAGCCUCAACACAGGGAGGCUAGCUACAAGCCUGCCAAGGGGCCCAUGAGGCCCACCAUACGCCUGCUGACAGAAAGGAGCUUAGAUGAGUGGAUAGACACCAACGAAUCAUCUUGGCCCCCCAAAUCAAGGUGGCGACGACCUAGAUCGGAUCUCCAUAUUGUAGAAGCAGAUCUGACGAACAUCUCCAUCCGCCAAAAAAUUGGCAAGUCUCACGACCCAGGUCUGUACGGAGGAGCACACCAAGCAGGGGUAGGAGAGAAGGCGAGCAGAUCCAGAUGUCGUGCACCACCAGCACCAAUUCGGAGCGGUCGACCUAGCCCCCAACAACUAGUUGCCCGUCAAAGCAGCUGGACAAGGCUAGAUCCACACGCCCCUGACCGGGAUAAGCCAUAUCUAAAGUAG